rnacentral:rRNA from 1 species
GACGAACGCUGGCGGCGUGCUUAACACAUGCAAGUCGAACGGAAAGGCCCUGCUUGCAGGGUAUUCGAGUGGCGAACGGGUGAGUAACACGUGGGUGAUCUGCCCUGCACUUCGGGAUAAGCCUGGGAAACUGGGUCUAAUACCGGAUAGGAGCCAUUUUUAGUGUGAUGGUUGGAAAGUUUUUUCGGUGUAGGAUGAGCUCGCGGCCUAUCAGCUUGUUGGUGGGGUAAUGGCCUACCAAGGCGGCGACGGGUAGCCGGCCUGAGAGGGUGGACGGCCACAUUGGGACUGAGAUACGGCCCAGACUCCUACGGGAGGCAGCAGUGGGGAAUAUUGCACAAUGGGCGCAAGCCUGAUGCAGUGACGCCGCGUGGGGGAUGACGGCCUUCGGGUUGUAAACUCAUUUCGCUAGGGACGAAGCUUUUUGUGACGGUACCUAGAUAAGAAGCACCGGCUAACUACGUG